GAUGGCCUAGUGGAUGGAGCGCCCGCCUUGGAUGUGGGAGGUCGCGGGUUCGAACUCCAGUAGAAUCA